AACGAACGCUGGCGGCAUGCCUAAUACAUGCAAGUCGAACGAGACCUUCGGGUCUAGUGGCGCACGGGUGCGUAACGCGUGGGAAUCUGCCCUUGGGUUCGGAAUAACAGCGGGAAACUGCUGCUAAUACCGGAUGAUGACGAAAGUCCAAAGAUUUAUCGCCCAGGGAUGAGCCCGCGUAGGAUUAGCUAGUUGGUGGG
rnacentral:rRNA from 1 species